UCCGGUUGAUCCUGCCGGAGGCCAUUGCUAUUGGGAUUCGAUUUAGCCAUGCUAGUCGUACGAGUUCAUACUCGUGGCGAAUAGCUCAGUAACACGUGGCCAAACUACCCUUCGGAGCACAAUACCCUCGGGAAACUGAGGCUAAUAGUGCAUACCACAGUCCACCUGGAAUGAGGAUUGUGCCAAACGCUCCGGCGCCGAAGGAUGUGGCUGCGGCCGAUUAGGUAGACGGUGGGGUAACGGCCCACCGUGCCAAUAAUCGGUACGGGUNUGUGCCAAACGCUCCGGCGCCGAAGGAUGUGGCUGCGGCCGAUUAGGUAGACGGUGGGGUAACGGCCCACCGUGCCAAUAAUCGGUACGGGUCAUGAGAGUGAGAACCCGGAGACGGAAUCUGAGACAAGAUUCCGGGCCCUACGGGGCGCAGCAGGCGCGAAACCUUUACACUGCACGCCAGUGCGAUAAGGGAAUCCCAAGUGCGCAGGCAUAGAGCCUGCGCUUUUGUUCACCGUAGGGAGGUGAACGAAUAAGGGCUGGGCAAGACCGGUGCCAGCCGCCGCGGUAAUACCGGCAGCCCGAGUGAUGGCCGAUUUUAUUGGGCCUAAAGCGUCCGUAGCUGGCUGCGCAAGUCCAUCGGAAAAUCCACCCGCUCAACGGGUGGGCGUCCGGUGGAAACUGCGUGGCUUGGGACCGGAAGGCGCGACGGGUACGUCCGGGGUAGGAGUGAAAUCCCGUAAUCCUGGACGGACCNCGCGAGGACGGAUCCGACAGUGAGGGACGAAAGCCAGGGUCUCGAACCGGAUUAGAUACCCGGGUAGUCCUGGCCGUAAACAAUGUCUGUUAGGUGUGGCUCCCGCUACGAGCGGGUGCUGUGCCGUAGGGAAGCCGCUAAACAGACCGCCUGGGAAGUACGUCCGCAAGGAUGAAACUUAAAGGAAUUGGCGGGGGAGCACUACAACCGGAGGAGCCUGCGGUUUAAUUGGACNCCUUAUCCGAGUUUCAGAGAGGAGGUGCAUGGCCGCCGUCAGCUCGUACCGUGAGGCGUCCUGUUAAGUCAGGCAACGAGCGAGACCCGCAUCCUUACUUGCCAGCAGCACUGCGAAGUGGCUGGGGACAGUAGGGAGACCGCCGUGGCCAACACGGAGGAAGGAACGGGCAACGGUAGGUCAGUAUGCCCCGAAUGUGCUGGGCAACACGCGGGCUACAAUGGUCGAGACAAAGGGUUCCAACUCCGAAAGGAGACGGUAAUCUCAGAAACUCGAUCGUAGUUCGG
rnacentral:rRNA from 1 species